rnacentral:misc_RNA from 1 species
AUCAAAGUAGCUCCAAUUGCCAAUCCGAGCCCCUGAGCAGCAAUGAUACUGAGAAACACAGUAAGCAUGGUAAGAAUGAAGGCUUCGACACUCUGUCUUAAGCCCGCCAUGAAGUAGACAAUUAGCAGAAAGAUUAUUGGCAGGAAAAGGUCCAGUGGCAGGUCGCUUGUCGUCCUUGCUGUGAAAUAUGCACUUAGCCUGUACAUGUCAACUGCUCGCUCCUUACUUAGCAUGGCUCUUUCUUGAGGAAAUGUGAAGAUCGCUGUGAA